GUCUUCAGCUCGUUUGUGUGGGGAGCUGUGGCCUACACACGCUACACAACUCCUUCAAGUGUGGGUUCACUGUAUGGCAGCUGGACAAAUUGCUGAGAGCAAUACACACAUUGUUUCACAAUACGCCUGCCAGGAGAGAGGAUUACAUCACCGUAACCAAGUCCAGUGUGUUCCCUCUAUCUUUCUGUGCCCAUCGUUGGGUAGAAAACCUUCCGGUUGUGGAGAGAGCCCUGGCAGUCUGGCCAUCAUUUCUCCUGUACAUGGAAGCUGUGAAAACAAAGAGACUCCCGAACCCUGGAACAGCAUCAUAUGACACAGUUGCAGCAGCCAUAAAGGAUCCACUCGUCUUGGCCAAAUUGCAGUUCUACGCAGCAAUUGCCAGGACCUUCAAUCCCUUCCUGAAAAAAUAUCAGACGGAUGAGCCUGUGCUCCCAUUCCUCCCCAAAGGACCUGACCGAGUUGAUGAUGUCUACCCAGACGCUUCAUAAAGAGAGAAGUACUACACGAUAUCACUGCCCUGCAGCUGACCAAACUGGAUGUCACAAACAAGACCAUCUGGCUCAGCCCACAAGACAUCAGCAUUGGUCUAGGUGCAGAGUCAGUCCUUAAGAGAAUCAAAGGUGCAGAGCUCAGGGUGCUCGAGUUCAAGAGAGAGUGCAUGCAGGGACUGAGUAACAUGAUCAAGAAAGUGCAGGACAAGAGCCCCCUCAAGUAUCUGACUGUUAGGCAGAUGGUGUGCCUGAAUCCGUCAGUAAUGUAUAGAGAACCAGAAAGAGGCAGGAAUCACAUGAAAGGGCUGGUUCAAAGGUUUCUCCAGGACAAACAGCUUACUGAUACUUCUUCGGGGGAUGUCAUACUGCAGCAGUUUGACAGUCUCCUUUCCUUGGAGAGCCGGAGUGAGGACUUCCUCUCCUUUCAAACCAUGCAGACGAGGCUGGACAUCUUCCUGAGCAGCGCCAUGGAGCCUUAUCCCGAGCUGUGGGCCUUCUGCAAGAAGCUGCUCAUCCUCAUCCACGGUCAAGCUACAGUUGAGCGUGGAUUCUCAAUCAAUAAAGAGGUGGAGUCUGAUAACUUGGCGGAGGAUACAGUGGUCACACGGAGACUGGUGUGUGACUACAUCAUACAACAUGGAGGUGUUACCAAGGUUCCACUCAGUAAACCGCUACUGGAAAGUGUAGCAAGGGCAAGGACAAGGUAUCGUACCCAUCUGGAGACCAAAAGAAGGAACAGGGAGGCAAAAGACCAGGCUCUCAAGAGGAGGGAAGCAGAGGACUGUCUUGAGGAGCUGAAGGUUAAGAGGAGACGUGUACAGGAGGUAUCUGAGGGUCUGGCUAGGGAUGCAGACAAGAUGGCUGAGGAGGCUGAAGCGAAGGCAGGGAGCAAGAUGGCUGGCCUGAUCACCAGGUCAAACAUUCUGCGGAGAGGCCAUAAGGAGAAGUUGGCAGAACUGGCUCUCCUUGAUAAAGAGAUCGCUGCUAAGAGUGCAGAGCUUAGGAGUUGACUGUGUGAUCAUAAUUUUAUUUAUUGUUGAGUUGAUUUUCAUUGUUUAUUGCUCAGGAGUCUGUGCUGUUGGCGUAAGUACUCACCACUAUGCUGCAAUGUUCCAUCAUUCCAUAAUGCUUUACAGUCCACAUUUUCACAUUUGUUGAAAUAAAUGAACACAUUUUGAACAAACGCUGUCGGUAGGUCUGUGAAAUAGGCCG
ensembl:lncRNA